rnacentral:lncRNA from 1 species
ACCCAUUUGGCACUAGCAGGGCUGGCCUUGCAUAUUUCAGCACCCUAGAUGGUCAAACACCUGGAGUUUCUCAUGAGUGCAGCCCUGUUCUUGGAGAUUUAUGACAUUUACCAGAUCUGGCAGCUGGCUAAUCUGCAGGAAAGAAAUGUCGUCCCAGCAAUACCAGCAGCAACGUCGAAAAUUUGCAGCUGCCUUCCUGGCCUUGAUUUUCAUCCUGGCAGCCGUGGACACUGCUGAGGCCGGGAAAAAAGAGAAACCAGAAAAAAAGGUGAAAAAAUCUGACUGUGGAGAAUGGCAAUGGAGUGUGUGCGUGCCCACCAGCGGGGACUGUGGUCUAGGCACCCGGGAGGGCACUCGCACUGGUGCCGAGUGCAAACAAACCAUGAAGACUCAGAGAUGUAAGAUCCCUUGCAACUGGAAGAAGCAGUUUGGAGCUGAGUGCAAAUACCAGUUCCAGGCUUGGGGAGAAUGUGACCUCAAUACCGCCUUGAAGACCAGAACUGGCAGUCUGAAGAGAGCUCUGCACAAUGCCGACUGUC